rnacentral:lncRNA from 1 species
GCUGUUCCUGCCCGAGGGAACAUGGACUUCAGUGGAAGAGACACUCAGAAGAGAGCUGCGAAACAAAUUACAAUGUAGAUGAUUCCGUAGCUGGGCUGCAGCACCGUCCCUGGAGAGCACAUGACAGGAAUGUAUGUUGGGCAGGAUGUGAAGCUGAGCCCUGGGCUGAAGCAAACUUGACCCCACCUGCGGACAGGACACUUCUGAAGCCGCUGCCUCGGCUUCCACCAGAAGCUGCAUCUCUGUGCUGCUAGAGAUGGAGAGCCCUGUCUUAGCUGGUUCAGUCGGGGCUGAGUGUUCAGCAGCUAAAGCUGCAUGUACUGUGACCUUCUGAGCCAAAGGCAGGGAAAGAUGCUCUCUAAUCCAUCUGGAAGUGAUUUUGACACCUGCCACAGUUGCGUUCGGGGAGAACCCGAGCAAUUAGCCAGCAGCGCCCCCUGGCGCCUCUUUCACCGCAAGUGUUCGGCUCUCAACUUGUUCAACCACCCUCCACCCGCUCCACGGGCAACUUUUCCGGGAAGGCGCCUCCAAAGACCUCUGUGAGUAGCGUAGGCUGCUCUGCUCUGACAACCUCUUCGGGGUAAAUUUCUUUUCCAUUUGAACAGCUUCUCCUUAGUUAAGGAGAAACCGUUAUUGCCCGGUUGCUUUUUCGUCUUUUGGAUGGAGAGAAGCAGAGGAAUUCUGGGCGGAGGCCAACGAUUAGCUGCAACAUCUACUGAUCACUUCCAUGAAGUCUUUGAGCCUUUGUAUAAAUAAAACACCAGCCGGGGGCUCCUUCUGCUCCCAUUGAUGCCCGAGUGCCAACUACAGGUUUGACUCUGAGACCCUCCUUAAAAAAUUAGGAAAAAAAAUUUUUAAAACGUUUUUAAAUUGGAUUUUUAUUGCCUAAGGAGGGAUCUGUAAAAUACGUAGAGUGGGAAGAAUGCAGAUAAAUAAGACCUGAAAGUUGUCCUCAAAUAUAUCAAAGCCAUACUGGAUAGUGGACCUGCUGGAGAAUAGAAAAAUAAACUGUUGAAUGCCUCUCCAUCAUUUUCUCUCCUGACACCCUAGUGGAGGGGCUCAUGAGUACCCGAAUGCCCAAAAUAUGGCCCAAAGGGAAGAUCCUAAAGAGUACACUAACUGCAUACUCAAGCCUGAAUUUAAUUGACUCGGUGGCAGAAACAAAAUUGUCCUGGUAAUGGGUUAUUCUAGCUCAGGUUACAAUAGCAGGAAAUUUUAAAAUAAUUGUGGAAAAAUGCACUCCAGGAGACAAUUAACUAUAUGAGCUACCCAGAGUAGGUUAGGGUGACCCUUGUCAAGACAUUCAUUUGAGAAAUAGGAAAGAAAGCAGGUCAUUUUUCUGUCUUAAAAAAAGAUUUGUAUUUUUCAUAUUGUGGCAGAAUUGAAACUUCUUACGCGGCUCAAGCUACUUAAAGAUUAUUCAGUGUUUGACAGAUGUUUGGUCAGACUGACUGUACAAUGUGUUCUGAUAUGAUUCACUGUUCCUGAAAGGGGGAAAAUCUUCUAACAGUUCUGAAGUCAGGGAAAUUCUGUAACUUGAUUCCUCUGUAAGGGGGCUGGCUUCUGGCAUUGGCUGCCACUAUUCUGUCAGGUUUUUUUCUCCUUUCCCUUUAAAUUUCUUCUGGCUGCACUCUAUUAUUCCAUGGACCUUUAGGUUUUCCCUCUUUGUAAUUUGAUGCCCUAUUCAGCAGCGUUCAGGAAGCUGUCUUGCCUUAGUUUAGUCCUUCUCAUGGCUGCUUCUGCUUUCCUUAAUUGAAUGCGCGGCUUGUUUUUUUCUUUUAGGUUUUUAAGGGAGACUAUACUAUUUUAGGCCUCUGUUAUGGAUUUCUAUAUAACGUGAGUUGAUACACACAUAUCAGAGUAAUCAAAGGAAUAUUUAGUUUAAUCCCUUUGAUAUUGUUUGUUUCUUAAAAUUCUUUUUAUAGAAAAAGCACAUUAAAACAUGUUCCAGGGUGUCCUGUUGUGGCUCAGCAGAAACGAACCUGACUGGUAUCCAUGAGGAUCGAGGUUCGAUCCCUUACCUCACUCAGUGGGUUAAGCAUCCAGUGUUGCCAUGAGCUGUGGUGUAGGUCACAGAUGAAGCUAGGAUCCUGUGUUGCUGUGGCUGUGGUGUAGGCCAGCAACUGUAGCUCCGAUUCGACUUCUAGCCUGGGAACUUCCAUAUGCCGCAGGUACAGCUCUAAAAAAAAAAAAAAAAAAAAAACCCCUAUCACCCACCUUCUCCUGAGUCACACCCACCCACUCAAUUUCUUCUGUUCAUUUUUAUUUAUUUAUUUUUUUUG